UAGGGAAUCUUCCACAAUGGACGCAAGUCUGAUGGAGCAACGCCGCGUGAGUGAAGAAGGUUUUCAGAUCGUAAAGCUCUGUUGUUGGUGAAGAAGGAUAGAGGCAGUAACUGGUCUUUAUUUGACGGUAAUCAACCAGAAAGUCACGGCUAACUACGUGCCAGCAGCCGCGGUAAUACGUAGGUGGCAAGCGUUGUCCGGAUUUAUUGGGCGUAAAGCGAGCGCAGGCGGAAUGAUAAGUCUGAUGUGAAAGCCCACGGCUCAACCGUGGAACUGCAUCGGAAACUGUCAUUCUUGAGUGCAGAAGAGGAGAGUGGAAUUCCAUGUGUAGCGGUGGAAUGCGUAGAUAUAUGGAAGAACACCAGUGGCGAAGGCGGCUCUCUGGUCUGCAACUGACGCUGAGGCUCGAAAGCAUGGGUAGCGAACAGG
rnacentral:rRNA from 1 species